AUGGAUGUUGAGCCGAUGAUUUCCAAGCCGCCAAGCCCAGCUAAGCCCGCUGAAGAGAAGACUGACGAUGUUGUCGUCACCGGGUUUGGUUACACAGCACCGGGUAACCCCACUGUCUUAUCCAAGCACAACGCCAAGGAAGAAAUUUCCGCUGAUGAUAAGGGCAAGUGGAAGGUAGACUUAGAGGGCUAUGCCCAGUUCAGUGCCCAAGACAUCCACUCUGGUUAUUUGAACCGUCUACACACCAGUCGUGACUUCGAAGCCGGCUUGGUCAAUUUGAUGAAGGAACGCUAUGAGGCUGAAUUGUCUGAGAAGGAUUCGCGGCUCAAUGAUCCGAAGGCCAACAUAAAAACUCAACAAUCUGAGACAUCCGAGGCCAAAUCAGAACCGAAGACUGCUUUAGAGAACAUUGAGCAGCUUAAGCAAAACUUCAAUACUGACAAAGAUGGUUGGGAAAGUGAAAAAGCAGCUCUAUUGAAGAGAGCGGAAGAUGCUGAAGCCGCACUUAAACCUGGUGACUAA
rnacentral:rRNA from 1 species